rnacentral:rRNA from 1 species
CGCGGUGAUACGUAGGGUGCGAGCGUUGUCCGGAUUUAUUGGGCGUAAAGGGCUCGUAGGUGGUUGAUCGCGUCGGAAGUGUAAUCUUGGGGCUUAACCCUGAGCGUGCUUUCGAUACGGGUUGACUUGAGGAAGGUAGGGGAGAAUGGAAUUCCUGGUGGAGCGGUGGAAUGCGCAGAUAUCAGGAGGAACACCAGUGGCGAAGGCGGUUCUCUGGGCCUUUCCUGACGCUGAGGAGCGAAAGCGUGGGGAGCGAACAGGCUUAGAUACCCUGGUAGUCCACGCUGUAAACGGUGGGUACUAGGUGUGGGGUCCAUUCCACGGGUUCCGUGCCGUAGCUAACGCUUUAAGUACCCCGCCUGGGGAGUACGGCCGCAAGGCUAAAACUCAAAGGAAUUGACGGGGCCCCGCACAAGCGGCGGAGCAUGCGGAUUAAUUCGAUGCAACGCGUAGAACCUUACCUGGGUUUGACAUGGAUCGGGAGUGCUCAGAGAUGGGUGUGCCUCUUUUGGGGUCGGUUCACAGGUGCUGCAUGGCUGUCGUCAGCUCGUGUCGUGAGAUGUUGGGUUAAGCCCCGCAACGAGCGCAACCCUCGUUCUAUGUUGCCAGCACGUGAUGGUGGGGACUCAUAGGAGACUGCCGGGGUCAACUCGGAGGAAGGUGGGGAUGACGUCAA